GAAAAGAGACACGUGAAGUAGUUCUCUCGAGACGGGCGACAAAUCGGGCAGGGCCACGAGCUGGGGACCAGCGGGAGCCCCCACCACAACCUGGCGCAGCCUGCGACGCCCUUUAAUUAGCGAGACGGCAACCCGUGGGCCAACACUGCAAUUAAAUCGCUGCUCUUUGCUUCUCCGGGGAGCUCUCCCACCCAUCCCCAGGCCUCAGCCCUGCGGCGAGGGGCAUGCCGGGAGAGUCGGAUGCCAGCGUGGCAUCCCAGUCACCCCAGCAUUGCAUCCCACGGACCCCGCUGGGGUCUCACAGCCUCCGUGCCCUAGACGAGAAGGUUUCGGGAGCUGCAGGAAGAGCAGGGCGGAUGCACAGAGAAAUCAAAUGAGCCAAAUUGUUUCCAGAUCAUAUCGAUUGAGCAGACCUCAAAUUGUUCCAAAAAUCAUGUCGACUGAGCGGGAGGAACUCAGCACCACGUACGGCGCUACAACCAGUGGGCAUCCUCCAUCCCACACCUCUCACCCUAGGAUGAAAGUGAACAUGUGAAGUGGUUAUCAUGGAGCAGCAGGCAUGUGAUAAGUUCCCCCCUCCCUGGCCUGUGAAGCAGUGUGACAAGUAGCUGACCCCAAACCUGGACUUCUGAAGUAGCUAACAUCUGCAUCUCAGUUUUGCAGCUGGAAGCCCCUGUGUGCAGCUGCUACAGAACCAGGACCCCCCUGUGAUGGCUGAUGGGUGUGAGCCUCUUGUAUCCCAAAUCACUUUAGGCAAGACUUUACUCUGCUCGACGCCUGCCUCACUGUACCCCGGCUGGAAAUGCAGGGCUCACAAACUCCCCCCCCGGCCCUUGGCAAGCAGGCAGUGGGAGCAGCAACAGCGGACAUUUCUCACUGCCCACAUGCUGCAGAUAUGUAAGCAAAGGGAUACGGAGAAAGGGUUUUAUUAACCCUAAGGCCUCGACAUCUGUUCUGCUCUCACACGACAACAGCAAAAGGCUCAGGCUGCUAGACCAGGGAAACAGCUCUCAUCUUUUCCCAGGUCCCUUGAUAGCCAUUAUUAUUGGCUCCCAGUCCACCCGGUGUCCAGUCCCAGCUGAGCAAGCCCGCUAUUUUUGGUUUACAGGACCAGAAAAAAAUCUUACAUCUUCCUCUCCAACUGUCCUGUCUCAUCACAGGGUCCUCAUGGUGCCUCAAUGUGUGUUUAUGAUGUUUCCAUGUAUUGAUCUAACCUGGGCCCUUUGUAAUGCCCAAAACAUUACAAAGGGCAUAUCUGUGAAAAUCAGAACU